CUCGUGAAGAUUAGACGUUUCUUUUCAAAUAAGUAGCUGCAGUUGCUGAAAUUACUUUAGGCGGGAAAAAGGAUUUUCAAUAUGGACGCUAUGAUGAUAAUUUGUUUUAUGAAGAAGAGAUUAUUAUGACUGCGUGCAAUGCAGUCAUUAGAAUCAGUGUUUGCGUAAUAAUGUUUCUAAUAUUUUUUAGAGCACAAUAGCUCUCAUUAA